AGGCACCCAACUCAACGACUUCGUAUUUGAGCCCUAAGCUGCUCUUCACAAUCACUGCAGGGGGUUGGGGUGUGUAGAGAACAGAACCCCACUGUUAGCAGCAGCGAUGGGUCUCAGACAGACAGAGCUCCGUGUCUGUGCUCACAGUGAUCAGAUCUGAGUCUGAGAACGCUGGAGAAGAGAAAUAAUCACCGCGAGAUUUCUUGAAGGAUUUUGGAUUUGGAAGAGCAGCACCUGAGCUCCUGGAGGCCCCAGCGGCUGCCAUGGGGAGCGGCACACAUCUGGGUGAGCAUCACACGGGGCUGUCGCGGCGCAUCCCACACCGCCCUCCCACCCGCUGCCUCCAGUGCUGAUCGGCGCUGCCCUGCAGAGCGCUUUGCUAUGCGAGAUGGAUGUGAGCUCCGUCUGGAAGGAUUAGCCUUUAAAAAGCACGGAGAGCGGAGCUUUGCUAAUGGGGAUCGUUGCGUCUCAGCCGCCCUUCCUUCCAGGGGAGGCGUGCGAAGUUCUCUUCCACCUGACAUCCCUCUGAGCGUUUAAACCCAACGAGUCCCAGGUCAACAGCAAACCUCCCACCGGCUCCGUAGGGUUGGGGCUGUGCCUCAGCCUCUCUGCUAACAAGAAGAGACAAGCUGAAGUGAGCGCUCAGACAGCAACCAUCAGGAUUUCACAGCGUGUUUUGCCAGCAACUUGUUGUUUUUAUUCAGUGAGGUUUUUUUUUCCCUCCUCUGUGUGCUGUAGCGACUCAGCUCCAUCCCGGGCUGCUCCUGACAUUAACAAGGCAGCAGAUGACAGGCAAAAUGCGUCCACCAGCAAUUCUGAGUCUUCCCGCUAAGUAAUCAUAAAUGCUGCAAGUUUGCAACAAAGCGAGCAGCUGUCUCUCUCCCUCUGGACAAGAACUGCUUCCUCACAAAUUGAGGCUCUGCUGGGUUUUACAGCUGUCGGACAAUGAGUCUGGUGCUG
ensembl:lncRNA